rnacentral:ribozyme from 1 species
GGCUGGACGGAGGAAUGGGGCUCCACUGGCCAUGGUGGCGGCGAUCGCGACGACUGGGCGGGAGAGUGCGACGGACUGCACCCAGACAGCA